UACGAAGGGGGCUAGCGUUGCUCGGAAUCACUGGGCGUAAAGGGUGCGUAGGCGGGGCUUUAAGUCAGGGGGGAAAUCCUGGAGCUCAACUCCAGAACUGCCUUUGAUACUGAAGAUCUUGAGUCCGGGAGAGGUGAGUGGAACUGCGAGUGUAGAGGUGAAAUUCGUAGAUAUUCGCAAGAACACCAGUGGCGAAGGCGGCUCACUGGACCGGCAUUGACGCUGAUGUGCGAAAGCGUGGGGAGCAAACAGG
rnacentral:rRNA from 1 species